rnacentral:rRNA from 1 species
GAUGAACGCUGGCGGCGUGCUUAACACAUGCAAGUCGAACGGAGUGGCGAACGGGUGAGUAACGCGUGGGUAACCUGCCUUAUACAAGGGGAUAACAGAGGGAAACUUCUGCUAAUACCGUAUAGUAUAAGAUGGACCCGCGUCUGAUUAGGUAGUUGGUGAGGUAGAGGCUCACCAAGCCGACGAUCGGUAGCCGAUCUGAGAGGAUGACCGGCCACAUUGGGACUGAGACACGGCCCAAACUCCUACGGGAGGCAGCAGUGGGGAAUAUUGGACAAUGGGGGCAACCCUGAUCCAGCGACGCCGCGUGAAGGAAGAAGUCCUAAGGAUCGUAAACUUCUUUAGCGAGUGAGUCGUGAUGGGAGUUUAAAGUAGCUCGAGAAUAAGUAUCGGCUAACUCCGUGCCAGCAGCCGCGGUAAUUC